rnacentral:rRNA from 1 species
GACGAACGCUGGCGGCGUGCUUAACACAUGCAAGUCGAACGGAAAGGCCUCUUUCGGGGGGUACUCGAGUGGCGAACGGGUGAGUAACACGUGAGUAACCUGCCCUUGACUUUGGGAUAACUUCAGGAAACUGGGGCUAAUACCGGAUAGGAGCUCCUGCUGCAUGGUGGGGGUUGGAAAGUUUCGGCGGUUGGGGAUGGACGCGCGGCUUAUCAGCUUGUUGGUGGGGUAGUGGCUUACCAAGGCUUUGACGGGUAGCCGGCCUGAGAGGGUGACCGGCCACAUUGGGACUGAGAUACGGCCCAGACUCCUCCGGGAGGCAGCAGUGGGGAAUAUUGCAAAAUGGGUCGAAGCCUGCUGCAGCAACGCCGUGUGCGGGAUGACGGCCUUCGGGUUGUAAACCGCUUUCGCUCAUGACGAAGCUUUGUGUGACGGUAGUGGGUAAAGAAGCACCGGCUCACUACGUG